rnacentral:rRNA from 1 species
CGCCUCUUGAAUUUUAUAAGAGGUCCAGCCUGCCCAGUGACUCUGUUCAACGGCCGCGGUAUCCUAACCGUGCGAAGGUAGCGUAAUCACUUGUUCUUUAAAUGUGGACUAGUAUGAAUGGCACCACGAAGGUUAUACUGUCUCCUUUUUCUAAUCAGUGAAACUAAUCUCCCCGUGAAGAAGCGGGGAUAAAGCUAUAAGACGAGAAGACCCUAUGGAGCUUUAAACAACAUAGCACUUGCCACACACCAUUAAAAUUCCAGAAUCUUCAAUUCUCUGAGCAAUAUGACUAUAAGUUUUUGGUUGGGGUGACCGCGGAGCAUAACACAACCUCCAUGUUGAAAGAAUCAUUUUUUAAGCUAAGAACUACAACUCUAAGCAUCAACAUAUUGACAUCCAUUGACCCAAUACACUUGAACAACGAACCAAGUUACCCUAGGGAUAACAGCGCAAUCCACUUCAAGAGCUCCUAUCGACAAGUGGGUUUACGACCUCGAUGUUGGAUCAGGGUUUCCCAGUGGUGCAGCCGCUACUAAAGGUUCGUUUGUUCAACGAUUAAAACCCUACG